AGCGAACGCUGGCGGCAGGCCUAACACAUGCAAGUCGAACGAACCUGUCGGGGUUAGUGGCGGGCGGGGGAGUAACACGGGGGAACGUGCCUUUAGGUGCGGAAUAACUCAGGGAAACGCGUGGUAAUACCGAAUGUGCCAUUCGGGGGAAAGUGUGAUCGCCUUUAGAGCGGCCUGCGUCUGAUUAGCUAGGUGGUUGAGGUAAUGGCUCACCAAGGCGACGCUCAGUAGCUGGUCUGAGAGGAUGAUCAGCCACAUUGGGACUGAGACACGGCCCAAACUCCUACGCGAGGCAGCAGUGCGGAAUCUUGCGCAACGGGCGAAAGCCUGACGCAGCCCUGCCGCGUGAAUGAUGAAGGUCUUAGGAUUGUAAAAUUCUUUCACCGGGGACGAUAAUGACGGUACCCGGAGAAGAAGCCCCGGCUAACUUCGUG
rnacentral:rRNA from 1 species